rnacentral:rRNA from 1 species
UACGUAGGGGGCUAGCGUUGUCCGGAAUCAUUGGGCGUAAAGAGCGCGUAGGCGGCUAGAUAAGUCCGGUGUGAAAGUCACAGGCUCAACCUGUGAAUGCCGCUGGAAACUGUCUGGCUAGAGUCCGGAAGGGGCGAGUGGAAUUCCUGGUGUAGCGGUGAAAUGCGCAGAUAUCAGGAGGAACACCGGUGGCGAAGGCGGCUCUCUGGGACGGUACUGACGCUGAGACGCGAAAGCGUGGGGAGCGAACAGG